AAGAGAGGGGAGGGGAGGGGUAGGACGCGAGAAUUGUGAAUUCCGCGCGGGGAGACGAGGCAGACCGGCUAAGAGGCGGGGCGCCCAAAUCAAGAGGAAGCAACCUGCUGCCUGAGUGAGUCCAUCUGCGAGGCUCCUGCCAGUGCCGUUGGCGAGUGCGGACGUGGAAACACCUACACGCACGGACUCACGCGUGUGGAUGUGCGUGCGCUGCGUCGGGCCGAGUGCGGGGUGUGGGUUUGCGUGCGGGUGUUGGAGUGUGUUGGUGCCUCGCUGGUGUGACGAGUCUGAUGUCGUUUCGUCCUUAUUUCCCGUAAAAAAGAGAAAGAAAUCGGUGUUUCGUAAACUUUGUGGUGGAGGGAAAAGCGAGGGGAGGGAAAUGUGUUCUCGCUCCGGCUGUGUGUCUUUAAGCUGAAGACUAAGAGGACAAAGAGGAACAGAAAGAGGAACAGGAGAGUCUUCUUGGAUUUCCUGUAGCCGCAGGGUCUCGAUCACCGCAUCACACAUAUGAAUGAUAAAGAAGGAUAGGAAGGAAAGAAAAUAUAAAGAGUAUGUAUUGAUAAAAAGCAUUCAUAAAAGCGUCACAUAGAGAAUGAGCAAGUGACGAGGCCAAAUAGGGAAAUAAAAAAGUUAAUUGGGAGAGAGAAAAAAAA